rnacentral:rRNA from 1 species
GACGAACGCUGGCGGCGUGCUUAACACAUGCAAGUCGAACGAAGUGGCGAACGGGUGAGUAACGCGUAAUCAACCUGCCCUUCCGAGGGGGACAACAGUUGGAAACGACUGCUAAUACCGCAUACUGAAGGAGGGGCUUGUGUCUGAGUAGCUAGUUGGAGGGGUAACGGCCGACCAAGGCGAUGAUCAGUAGCCGGUCGGAUAGGAUGAACGGCCACAUUGGGACUGAGACACGGCCCAGACUCCGACGGGAGGCAGCAGUGGGGAAUCUUCCGCAAUGGACGAAAGUCUGACGGAGCAACGCCGCGUGAGUGAUGACGGCCUUCGGGUUGUAAAGCUCUGUUAAUCGGGACGCGGUACCGGAAUAGAAAGCCACGGCUAACUACGUGCCAGCAGCCGCGGUAAUUC